UACGGGGGGGGCAAGCGUUGUUCGGAAUUACUGGGCGUAAAGGGUUCGUAGGUGGCCUUCUAAGUUGAACGUGAAAUCCCUGGGCUCAACCCAGGAACUGCGUCCAAGACUGGGAGGCUUGAAUCCGGGAGAGGGAUGCGGAAUUCCAGGUGUAGCGGUGAAAUGCGUAGAUAUCUGGAGGAACACCGGUGGCGAAGGCGGCAUCCUGGACCGGUAUUGACACUGAGGCGCGAAAGCCAGGGGAGCAAACGGG
rnacentral:rRNA from 1 species